rnacentral:lncRNA from 1 species
AAUUUGACCAACAAUCUCUAUUCCCAUGUCCCCAACUCUCAGAAUUUUCGUCGCUGCCAAAGGCUUGGCUCUUCUGAGAAUGAGAAUCUCCGAUCGAAGUCGCCGGUAAAGUAUGAACGACAGGUGAAGAACAAAAGAGAUUCUCUCACUCAUUUAGAGACUUUCAAUAGAACGCAGCGUUUAGCCAAAAGUAUCUAAAACGCUGCGGUUAAGGGACAUUCAUACAUAUUUUGAGAAAGUAUCAAUAGACUUCAAA